CAUCCUCUCUCCCCUAGUCUUCUUCUUCUUCUUCUUCUUCUUCUAUUUCUCCUCACUCUACUUCUUCUCCUUUCCCUUCUCUCCUCACUACUAUGGACUACCCUGCGCAGGAUUCUUGCUGCAGCCAGCAGCAAGACAAGGGAAGUAGCAGUAGCUUGGAGAAGGAGUGAUCAUCCAAUGCUGCAUUGAGGUGUAGUACUUCUUUUACUCAUUCUUCUUCUUCUUCUUCUUCUUGUUUUUCUUUUUCUCUCUUCUUUUCCUGGUUCCUUCCCUCUCCUUGCGCAGUGUCUAGGGCUGCUAUUGCUGCCAGCAGCAUGGAUGCAGCCACCGGCAGCAGCAGUUCCAGCAGGAUGCUCUUGCAGUUAGGAUUAAUAGUAGAAUUAAUGAGCAAUUGCAUCUCCAACUCCUUCCCUUCCUACAUUCCAUCUCUGUAGACUCAUUCACCAACCCAAAGGGCAGUCUUAACUGCCAGAGGAACUACAGCUGUAGCUAUGGCAGCUUGCAGCAUUGCAGCAGUGGAGAUGAGAGGGAGAUCGAGUGCGAGGAAACUUACACUCUUGAUGUUAACUCCAGCUCCUGGUGGUGUUGAUGAGGAUCAGGGACUUAGGGAUGCUUGAAUUCAGUUGGAUUUGAGGCCAUCAUAGUAAUUAGAGCAGCAGCUGCAUCCAGAGUUUUGCUAGCAGCUUGGAUCGGCAGCUGCCGCUAGCCAGGAGUCUAGCUAGCAGCUGGCAGCAAGGGAGGGCAGAGAAAAGAGUUAAAUUAACUGAGUUUCGAAAUUCCAAUUUCAAAACUGGAGGUUCUUGACUUGAGUUGGGAUUGUUGGGGUGCUGUUCAUACCUUCCUUGAACAGGAAUUGCAGAAGGGUUGAGAGUGAUCUUAACUUCAUGCUGUAAUGACUGGGAUCUGGACCAAUUUGGAGGGAUUUUUGGAAUUCGUCUUUACUUCCUUUUUAAUUGGAGCUAGCGGAAGAUGCUUGUAGAGUUUCAGUUUGAUCCGUGGUCGGAUUAGCACACUAGGUGUUUGAUGUUUACUAAAUUCAUCGGGAUUCCUUAGCCACUUGUUUCUGUCGUCGCCACUUAUCAAGGUAAGGGAGUCGUGAGUUAAAUCCCUUUCUACUCUGGUUGUUUAGCUAGUGGCGUACCCAAUUGGAGGCAGUUUUUGUGAUAGUCAUUGUACGUACAGAUGUAUUUAUUUUUCAAUUCAGAGUUAACGUGAGAGGUGGUGUUGUACUUAUGGAUGAUACUUUUGUACACCUUGGAUACAUGUAUGUGCAGUAGACUAUGUUUUAGCUUUAGUA